AAGAUUUUAAGUUAAUUAAACUAAAGAUUUUCAAAAUCUUAAAUAAAUAAAUUAUUUAAAUCUUG
rnacentral:tRNA from 1 species